rnacentral:sRNA from 1 species
UAUUUCCAUUGAUAUCAAGGAAUUGCAUAUUUCCGUUUGCCGCGUUUACUCCUACGUAUGGAUAUAGCUGAUACUGACUAGCAGGACCUCCA